rnacentral:rRNA from 1 species
UACGUAUGGGGCAAGCGUUAUCCGGAUUUACUGGGUGUAAAGGGAGCGUAGGUGGUUUGGCAAGUCAGAUGUGAAAGCCCGGGGCUCAACCCCGGUAGUGCAUUUGAAACUGCCAAACUAGAGUGCAGGAGAGGUAAGUGGAAUUCCUAGUGUAGCGGUGAAAUGCGUAGAUAUUAGGAGGAACACCAGUGGCGAAGGCGACUUACUGGACUGUAACUGACACUGAGGCUCGAAAGCGUGGGGAGCAAACAGG